GACGUAGGGCGCGAGCGUUGUCCGGAUUUAUUGGGCGUAAAGAGCUCGUAGGCGGCUUGUCGCGUCGGCUGUGAAACCCGCGGCUCAACUGUGGGCGGGCAGCUGAUACGGGCAGGCUGGAGUUCGGUAGGGAGACUGGAAUUCCUGGUGUAGCGGUGAAAUGCGCAGAUAUCAGGAGGAACACCGGUGGCGAAGGCGGCUUCCUGGGCCAUCCUGACACUGAGAAGCGAAAGCUAGGGGAGCGAACGGG
rnacentral:rRNA from 1 species